rnacentral:piRNA from 1 species
UUGGNGUUGCCUGAGUUUAAGGCCUUCGCU